UUUUUAUCCCACCUUUUUGAGAGAUUUUAUCUUUUAGAGUAGUUCCAGGUUCACAGCCUCCCAACAAGCACAGCCUCCCCCAUUAUCGACAUCCCCCCACCAGAGAUACAGUUGUUACAACCUCUACCUCCUGGGUUCAAGAGAUGCUCCUGCCUCAGCCUCCCAAGUAGCUGGGAUUAUAGGCAUGUGCCACCACACCCAGAUAAUUUUUUGUAUUUAGUAGAGACGGGGUUUCACCAUGUUGAUCGGUCUGGUCUUGAACUCCCGACCUCAGGUGAUCCACCUGCCUCAGGCUCCCAAAGUACUGGGAUUACAGGUGUGAGCCACCGCACCUGGCCUGAGUGUGUUUAGUUUUAUAAGACAUCUCCUUUUUUAACAUUCUUCAUUUUGGGUUUGUCUGAUGUUUCCUUAUGAUUAAAUUCAGGUUAUGCAUUCCGUUUCAGAAUACUGCAUAGGUGAUGUUGUGUCCUCCGGGCAAUAAGCCUGGAGGCAUGAAACAUCCAUGUGUCCUGCAAUGAUGAUGUCAGUUGUGAUCACCCAGGGAAGAUGCUGUCAGUUAUCUUCAUUAUAUAAUUGCUGUUUUUUUCUGCAUUUCUACUAAUAAACAGUUUGUGGGGGGGAUACAUUAAGGUCUUGCAAACACCCUGUUUCUUUUCAAAAUUUCCCCUAGAUUGGCUGGGCGCAGUGGUUCAUGCCUGUUAUCCCCACACUUCGGGAGGCCGAGGUGGGCAGAUCCCUUGAGGUCAGGAGUUUGAGACCAGCCUGGCUAACAUAGUGAAACUCCGUCUCUACUAAAAAAUGCAAAAAUUACCCAGGUGUGGUGGCGCAUGUCUGUAGUCCCAGCUACUCGGGAAGCUUGAGGCAGGAGAAUCUCUUGAACCUGGGAGGUGGAGGUUGCAGUGAGCCGAGAUUGCGCCACUGCACUUCAGCCUGGGUGACAACAGCAAGACUCCAUCUCAAAAAAAAAAAAAUUCCCCUAGAUUUAGCAUGCAUUGAUAAUUCUUGCUUAAUCCACUUUUUGCUAUGGUAGUGACAAAAUGAUAAUUUUUAAGUUUCUGCAUGCCACAUUUAACAGCUAGCUUUCAGCUUUCUACUGUAAGCAAACCCUAUGUUCUUCACAUUGGUUUAUUUGUGUUUAUAUUUAUUGCCAGUAGGACUCACUAAUUUUUAUUUUUUCAGUGGCUUAUAAUUCACUAUUGUAGUUAAUAUUUUGGUGCCCAAAUAGUCCCAGUAUUGGCCACUGAGAUCCGUUUCAAGCUACCUUCCGUGUCUCUGUGAUAUGCUAUCCUUUCUGCUUUCUCAGGACUUCAUUUUUUUUUGGCAUAGCAAUAUGUUCCAGCCUCAUCUUGCACCUGCUCCACCUCAGUCAUUUUCCUAAGGUGCCCUGAUUUUUUAGUGGGGGAUGGUGUUAGAGACCAAGAUCUUGGUAGGUGUGUUCUUUGCUGCUGGACUGUCUUUGUUUCAAGGCUUUUUUAGUGAACAGAGUUAAGAAAUAUAUGCCUGCAUUUAUCCACAAAAGAAUGUACACAUACAUAAAUGUGUAUGCAUAUGUACAUAUACAUAUUUAAAAAAUUAUUAGUUUACAGAGAUACCUUUAAUUCAAUCCAUCCCCACAGGGUUCUUCCUUGCCUUCCUCCCUUCUAUAAUUGCAUGUCCUUUCUUCCACAGCGUGAUUAACAACAUUAACCCUUGUACUUAUUUGCUCACUCUUAUAAUAAAUCAAAAGUAGUUUAAGAAUGCUUUGCUCAUACCACUAUAAUAAACAAGAUUGCUUAAAAAAGGUUCAGGAUAUGAACUUUUUUCCCACCCCCACCCCACUCACCCUGGUUAAGACUGCAGGUUUAUACCUAAAUAAUAAAAUCAGGAGAACUAAUAAAAGUAUUGCUUAGUAAGGCCAGGUGAGGUGGCUCAUGCCUGU
rnacentral:lncRNA from 1 species